rnacentral:tRNA from 1 species
UCUCUGGUGGUCCAGUGGCUAUGACUCCACAUUUCCAAUGCAGAGGGCCCAAGUUCGAUCCUUGGUGAGGGAA